rnacentral:sRNA from 1 species
ACCUUGACCCAUUUGCUACAUUCCUUUUCCUGUGAAAUAUGGCAGCAAAGUGACUGGAGAUGUGGAGGAAAGCAUUAUCUCGGCAAUGCAGAGUCAUGAGAAGGACUGGGUCCAGAUGAAGGAUGUUGAGUGUGCUGAUGCAGUGGUGAUGGCAUAUUCUGCAGCUGGAAGGUGUGUUGCUGUUCAUUAAGGAGAGAAGAGUCACCCUGGUGACUGGUAGUUAGGACAACAGUAGGUUCCACUGGCUACUGGUUCGAGAAUUGCUAUUUGAUGUUCAAUCACAGAGGAAGAGGAGUCAAGUGGCCCAGAAGUCAGGA